AGUGGACGCUGGCGGUAGGCCUAACACAUGCAAGUCGAACGGCAGCACAGUAAGAGCUUGCUCUUACGGGUGGCGAGUGGCGGACGGGUGAGGAAUACAUCGGAAUCUACUUUUUCGUGGGGGAUAACGUAGGGAAACUUACGCUAAUACCGCAUACGACCUACGGGUGAAAGCAGGGGAUCUUCGGACCUUGCGCGAUUGAAUGAGCCGAUGUCGGAUUAGCUAGUUGGCGGGGUAAAGGCCCACCAAGGCGACGAUCCGUAGCUGGUCUGAGAGGAUGAUCAGCCACACUGGAACUGAGACACGGUCCAGACUCCUACGGGAGGCAGCAGUGGGGAAUAUUGGACAAUGGGCGCAAGCCUGAUCCAGCCAUACCGCGUGGGUGAAGAAGGCCUUCGGGUUGUAAAGCCCUUUUGUUGGGAAAGAAAAGCAGCAGGUUAAUACCCCGCUGUUCUGACGGUACCCAAAGAAUAAGCACCGGCUAACUUCGCG
rnacentral:rRNA from 1 species